AUACGGAGGAUCCGAGCGUUAUCCGGAUUUAUUGGGUUUAAAGGGUGCGCAGGCGGCCAUUUAAGUCAGCGGUUAAAUCGUGGGGCUCAACCCCAUUCUGCCGUUGAUACUGGGUGGCUUGAUUGCGGUCGAGGUUGGCGGAAUUCGUUGUGUAGCGGUGAAAUGCAUACAUAUGACGAAGAACACCGAUUGCGUAGGCAGCUGACCAGACCGCAAAUGACGCUCAUGCACGAAAGUGCGGGGAUCGAACAGGAUUAGAUACCCUGGUAGUCCGCACAGUAAACGAUGAAUACUUGUUUUCGGCGAUAUAAUGUCGGAGGCAAAGCGAAAGCGAUAAGUAUUCCACCUGGGGAGUACGCCGGCAACGGUGAAACUCAAAGGAAUUGGCGGGG
rnacentral:rRNA from 1 species